CCCUACGGGGCGCAGCAGGCGCGAAAACUUUACAAUGCGGGAAACCGUGAUAAGGGAACACCGAGUGCCAGCAUCAUAUGCUGGCUGUCCAGAUGUGUAAACUACAUCUGUUAGCAAGGGCCGGGCAAGACCGGUGCCAGCCGCCGCGGUAACACCGGCGGCCCGAGUGGUGACCGUUAUUAUUGGGUCUAAAGGGUCCGUAGCCGGUUUGGUCAGUCCUCCGGGAAAUCUGAUAGCUUAACUGUUAGGCUUUCGGGGAAUACUGCCAGGCUUGGAACCGGGAGAGGUAAGAGGUACUACAGGGGUAGGAGUGAAAUCUUGUAAUCCCUGUGAGACCACCUGUGGCGAAGGCGUCUUACCAGAACGGGUUCGACGGUGAGGGACGAAAGCUGGGGGCACGAACCGGAUUAGAUACCCGGGUAGUCCCAGCCGUAAACUAUGCUCGCUAGGUGUCAGGCAUGGCGCGACCGUGUCUGGUGCCGCAGGGAAGCCGUGAAGCGAGCCACCUGGGAAGUACGGCCGCAAGGCUGAAACUUAAAGGAAUUGGCGGGGGAGCACAACAACGGGUGGAGCCUGCGGUUUAAUUGGACUCAACGCCGGACAACUCACCGGGAACGACA
rnacentral:rRNA from 1 species